AGAUUGAACGCUGGCGGCAGGCCUAACACAUGCAAGUCGAGCGGUAGAGAGGUGCUUGCAUCUCUUGAGAGCGGCGGACGGGUGAGUAAUGCCUAGGAAUCUGCCUAGUGGUGGGGGAUAACGUUCGGAAACGGACGCUAAUACCGCAUACGUCCUACGGGAGAAAGCGGGGGACCUUCGGGCCUCGCGCCACUAGAUGAGCCUAGGUCGGAUUAGCUAGUUGGUGAGGUAAUGGCUCACCAAGGCGACGAUCCGUAACUGGUCUGAGAGGAUGAUCAGUCACACUGGAACUGAGACACGGUCCAGACCUCCUA
rnacentral:rRNA from 1 species